AUUGAACGCUGGCGGCAGGCUUAACACAUGCUAGUCGAGCGGUAGCACAAGAGAGCUUGCUCUCUGGGUGACGAGCGGCGGACGGGUGAGUAAUGUCUGGGAAACUGCCUGAUGGAGGGGGAUAACUACUGGAAACGGUAGCUAAUACCGCAUAACGUCGCAGGACCAAAGAGGGGGACCUUCGGGCCUCUUGCCAUCAUAUGUGCCCAGAUGGGAUUAGCUAGUAGGUGGGGUAAUGGCUCACCUAGGCGACGAUCCCUAGCUGGUCUGAGAGGAUGACCAGCCACACUGGAACUGAGACACGGUCCAUACUCCUACGGGAGGCAGCAGUGGAGAAUAUUGCGCAAUGGGCGCAAGCCUGGUGCACCCAUGCCUCGUGUGUGAAGAAGGCCUUCGGGUUGUAAAGCACUUUCAGCGAGGAGGAAGGUGGUGAACUUAAUACCUUCAUCAAUUGACGUUACUCGCAGAAUAAGCACCGGCUAACUCCGUGCCAGCAACCGCGGUAAUGCGGAAGGUGCAAGCGUUAAUCCGAAUUACUGGGCGUAAAGCGCACGCAGGCGGUUUGUUAGUCAGAUGUGAAAUCCCCGGGCUCAACCUGGGAACUGCAUCUGAUACUGGCAAGCUUGAGUCUCGUAGAGGGGGGUAGAAUUCCAGGUGUAGCGGUGAAAUGCGUAGAGAUCUGGAGGAAUACCGGUGGCGAAGGCGGCCCCCUGGACGAAGACUGACGCUCAGGUGCGAAAGCGUGGGGAGCAAACAGGAUUAGAUACCCUGGUAGUCCACGCCGUAAACGAUGUCGACUUGGAGGUUGUGCCCUUGAGGCGUGGCUUCCGGAGCUAACGCGUUAAGUCGACCGCCUGGGGAGUACGGCCGCAAGGUUAAAACUCAAAUGAAUUGACGGGGGCCCGCACAAGCGGCGGAGCAUGCGGAUUAAUUCGAUGCAACGCGAAGAACCUUACCUACUCUUGACAUCCAGAGAACUUUCCAGAGAUGGAUUGGUGCCUUCGGGAACUCUGAGACAGGUGGUGCAUGGCUGUCGUCAGCUCGUGUCGUGAAAUGUUGGGUUAAGUCCCGCAACGAGCGCAACCCUUGCCCUAUGUUGCCAGCGGUUCGGCCGGGAACUCAAAGGAGACUGCCAGUGAUAAACUGGAGGAAGGUGGGGAUGACGUCAAGUCAUCAUGGCCCUUACGAGUAGGGUUACACACGUGCUACAAUGGCAUAUACAAAGAGAAGCGACCUCGCGAGAGCAAGCGGACCUCAUAAAGUACGUCGUAGUCCGGAUUGGAGUUUGCAACUAGACUCCAAGAAGUCGGAAUCGCUAGUAAUCGUAGAUCAGAAUGCUACGGUGAAUACGUUCCCGGGCCU
rnacentral:rRNA from 1 species